UCCGAGACUGGAAAAGAAUAGAUAGAAGAGAACUAUAAUUCUCAACUGAAUAUGAGCUGAUUUGCCUUCUGCUUAUAUUAAAGAGCGGACUUAUGCUAAGAGUUUAGAAUUCACUUGAUGUGAUAAGGGUGCAAUUAUAAUCAUAGACGGCGAAGAGAUAUUUUAUGUAAGCAUAGGUCAUGCGAAACAAGGAUAAGACUACACAAUAGGUAUUACGUUGUCUGGAUUAGAAUACUUGGAAAAUAGAGAUUGUUCAAUGAAUGCUUACAGACUGAAU
rnacentral:lncRNA from 1 species